rnacentral:rRNA from 1 species
UUUCAGCAGGGAAGAAGCGAAAGUGACGGUACCUGCAGAAGAAGCGCCGGCUAACUACGUGCCAGCAGCCGCGGUAAUACGUAGGGCGCAAGCGUUGUCCGGAAUUAUUGGGCGUAAAGAGCUCGUAGGCGGCUUGUCGCGUCGGUUGUGAAAGCCCGGGGCUUAACCCCGGGUCUGCAGUCGAUACGGGCAGGCUAGAGUUCGGUAGGGGAGAUCGGAAUUCCUGGUGUAGCGGUGAAAUGCGCAGAUAUCAGGAGGAACACCGGUGGCGAAGGCGGAUCUCUGGGCCGAUACUGACGCUGAGGAGCGAAAGCGUGGGGAGCGAACAGGAUUAGAUACCCUGGUAGUCCACGCCGUAAACGGUGGGCACUAGGUGUGGGCAACAUUCCACGUUGUCCGUGCCGCAGCUAACGCAUUAAGUGCCCCGCCUGGGGAGUACGGCCGCAAGGCUAAAACUCAAAGGAAUUGACGGGGGCCCGCACAAGCGGCGGAGCAUGUGGCUUAAUUCGACGCAACGCGAAGAACCUUACCAAGGCUUGACAUACACCGGAAAGCAUCA